UGAAAGAAGGAAAUUGGUCUCUUCAAUAAAUGAAAAUAAUCUUAACCCAGAAGCAAAUGAUGAAUCCCUCCUUACAAAUGUGGAACCUACUUCAGCUAGUGCUAAGGAUGCUUCAAGUCUGGAUGAUGAAUUAGCAACCACAAUAAGCGGGAAUGAAGAUAGUCAGCAUAGGAAAAAUCCUCGUCCAUCUGGAGGAUUCUCAACAGAAAAUGGUACAGUCCAGCUAAAUGAGCAAGCUUCAAUCUUCUCCCAAGUUUUCACCACAAGCAAUGUGAAGCGUGAAGAUGUUAAUGAAUCCACUUUACCAGAGAUGAGUUCCAGUUUCGAUGAUAGUAUGGCCCACGUGGAUGAUGAUACUGUAUCAUUUCUCUCAACUUCAUCCACCAUUUCCACCAUAAACAACAUGCAGACUGAAUAUGUCACUGAAUCCUCACCACAAGCCACCAAUGAUGUUAAAGGUGAUUCAUAUGUAGAAGAU
rnacentral:lncRNA from 1 species